ensembl:lncRNA
UUACUGUUUAGUAAAGAGAACAGACUUUAGAUUGCAGCUCUACAUGUUCCAUUUGAAAAUCACCCAGUGUUGUAGUAAGCGUCUUGCGGGGGCACGGGAUGUACGGGACAGGCCUCUCCCUAAGCAUAGAGAGACAGCGCUAUCGUGCUGACCUUGAUGCAGAGAAAACAGGAGAAGAAGAAGAAUGAGAAAAGAAUGUGGAGACGGCCAAAUAGGGCACGGUGUUGUCUGGUAUGAACCAAUCAGAGUGGGACAUGACAGCACGGUUUUGUAGGUAAAAAUGUAAUAUAAGCUGUGUUUUAGUAGUGAAUAGGGGCCAUUUUACCGCUCAUCAUAUUGGUGUCACCUCGGUAUAUGGCCAAGCCGCAGGCUCCCCUAAGCAACGAACAUCACGGUUGCCUGCGAAAGGCAACAAGUGGUGACCCCCGACGUGAUGCUUAGGGGAACGAGUCGGCUGUCUGCUUGACGGGGCAGGAGCCCACCGCGGGGCGUUAGCACUUGCUGGGCGGUGGAAGCCGGGGGCCGAGCCCGGGGACAGAGGGAAUCUGCAGUCACCCCUCUGUCGGUGGAUGUCGCAGACGAGCGACGAAUAUAGCCUCCGGGAUCACGCCGGAGAAGAGCCUGGGAUCCUGGUCUCAACUGGGAGGAGGAUCGGAGGCGACAUGGAAACCGUCAUAAAGGUGAUCGUUCACGCGUGUAAGAUUUAUCACGGGAAGCAUGCUCCUUCUCAGAAGGAGAUUGCUGCGGUCCUCUCGUUGCUUGAGAGGGAGGGGCUAUUAACAUCGCCCCACGAUAUUUGUGACCACAAUAAUUGGGAUUCGAUUACCGCUGCCUUAUCCCAACGAGCAAUGGUCACUCAGAUAACAGUGGAGUUAAAAACUUGGGGUCUGAUACUGGGGGCGUUGAAAGCGGCCAGAGUUGAGGGAAAGGUAUUGGUGGAGGCUCGAUACCUUUUGGGUCUUAGCGGAGGAGGCGAGACAUGGGACCCGGUCGGGUCCGAUGGGGGUUCGGGAGCAGUUUCUUGCAGGGGCCGAGAGGAGACGGAGCCGCCAAUGACCGCUGGCGAGAUGGCGCCGGCUGAGCCGACCGCGCUCAGUUCAAAAGAAGACAAACAACAAGAGAGUGAAACGUCGUUGUCUCGUCCCCCUCCCCCGUAUCCGAACCCCUCAGGCGGAACGUUGUAUCCUUUAUCAGAAUUACGUCAGUGUUACCUGACUCAAAGGGGCGGAGGAAGCUGUGAUCUACACGGGCAGGAUCAACUUAGUGCCCACAUGGGGAGGGACCAGACGAAAGGUCCGUCCAAUGCGGACAGGGGGCAGAGCCUACCGUCUCUGGUCUCUCCCAGGAGUGAUAGUGUAGAGGAGAAAGAAGGGACUGGCUUUGAGUGCAGGGGGAAGGAUCAAAUGACGGACUGGAAUGGGAUUAGAUCGGAGGCUCUGGGGAAGGGUAUAGUUCCAGAGGCAUUCCGGGUGAUUGUGAGUGAUCGUGGUCCCGAAUGGGUGCCGCCUGACCCCGGGGGUGUUACGCGCCUGGUGGAAUUUAUGGAUAAAAGAGGCCUGAAAUCGCCUCUGACAUUAAAUGCACUACAAACUUUGGCUGCACUGGGGCCUCUCUUCCCCCGUGACAUCACAAACUUAAUGCGUAUGGUGCUCAGGCUGGUUCAAUAUACGUUAUAGGAGACAGACUGGAUGGCCGAGUUGGGGGGCCGUGCCGGGGCGGCAGUGGUCGGCCCGGGCUGCUCCCUGCAUGGGACCGGCAUCCAGCGGCUUUCAGGGAAGGCUGUGGGAGUGGCUUUGCCCCAGGGCCAGCUAGCGAGACUAAGGCCAGGGGAGCUAAUAGCAGCCACAGAUGCAGUGGUGGAAGCGUUUAAUAAACUUGUGCAUAAGGCCGAACCACCUGCUCCGUGCACAGAUAUUACCCAGGGCGCGAAUGAAUCCUUUCAAAGCUUUGCAGACAGGCUUUUAGCUGCUGCAGAGGGGUCUGAUCUCCUGGAACCAGCCCAAGGGCCAGUGAUCAUUGACUGCCUGCAACAGAAAUCGCAUGACAAUGUUAAGGCAUUGCUGCGAGCCGGCCCAAGUACGCUUAAUACCCAGGGAGAAGUUAUUCAGUAUGUCUUAGAUAAGCUCAAGGGCUGUGUUUCCGAUACGGCCAGUAUGGCCAUGUUAGAGCACAGUGCCCCUGUGGGGGAGGUCAGUCAGGGCCUCCUGAUCACAGGAAGGGCUUACUAAAGGGUAUCAGUCGUCGGGUAUGUGGCAGUUAAACAUCAUGAAUCUGGGAAAAACUCUGUGGGUACCAUCGCGAAAAGUAAUACCAGAUAUAAGUAACAUAUCUGCAAAAACUGAGUCUAGGUGCGAGUUUUCUACAGAAAUUCUUCGUUGGCAAACCGAAGCCAACUCCAGAACAACUGAGGGACAGACGAUGGGAUCAAGAAGCAUUCAUCAAGAGGAGCACUACACCUGCAACGCUGACACUUCCGAUGUUGCUGAUAUUUAUGGUGUCCAUGGCGAUUACAGAGUGUCACAAACAACUACAAUGGACACAAGAACAUAUGCAGAAAAUGAAAGAAGAGUGUGAUCCCUUUGGAAGCUGGCUGGACGGACUGUUUGGGGGAACGGGUUCAUGGUUAAAGCAAUUGCUUAAAGCUCUCGCAGUAGGAUUUGCAAUCUUUGUGUGUAUUCUAAUCUGUCUUCCAUGCUUUGUAGGAUGCUUGCAGAACUGCCUUCAACGAAUGAUGGACAAGACUUUUGACUAUCACAUUGAGUAUCAUAGAUUGCGUGAAAAAUUAUAGAGGGGUUUAGGUUGUUGCGUUCGUGCUGUAACGGGGCAAGGCUUGGCCGAGCACGGAAAAGAAUUCCCUGUUGCUCUGAUGAUUGCUUAAGAACUGUAGUAGAAAAUAGUAGGAAUAGUGUGCUGAAAUAUAUUUAGGAUUAGGCGUUUUGCGCUGCUUCGCGAUGUACGGGUUAGGUGUGUGUGUAAGUAGUAUUUAGCUUAGGGAGGGGGAGAUGUUGUAGUAGGCGUCUUGCGGGGGCACGGGAUGUACGGGACAGGCCUCUCCCUAAACAUAGAGAGACAGUGCUAUCGUGCUGACCUUGUUGCAGAGAAAACAGGAGAAGAAGAAGGAUGAUAAAAGAAUGUGGAAACGGCCAAAUAAGGCACAAUGUUAUCUGGUGUGAACUAAUCAGAGUGGGACAUGACAGCACGGUUAUCUAGGUAAAAUGUAUAUAAGCUGUGUUUAGUAGUGAAUAAACGCCAUUUGCCUCACUUACUCCUGGGGUCUGGGUGAGCAUCUGGCCCCGACCUGGUAAAGGGUCGGUUUCGCCCAGCAGUAAGCCCUACAUGUGGACAGAGGACGAACACCGGACGAGCGAACGGAGACUACACGCAACAUCUAUGUGAAAAAAAAUAGCACUGACAUUCAUCGAUGCUGAAUGCUUGUGGAGACUAAGCAGUGGAUGUGACCACUGUGAUAUUGGGUGAGGUAGUGAGGUAGUGGGUGGUGCAUUGCAGCAGUGCCAACAGUGACAUGAAAGACAAGCCACAUUCCGGGCAGCCAACAUGUGAAUUCCCUUUCAAAAAAAGUUCAAGCUGUGGCCCUCAGAAGGUAAAGUGACAUUCACUGUCUUUUGGGAUAGAAGAGGGGUGAUUUCCUGGCACCUGGAUAAAGCAUCAGCUUUGACCACUACAUCCAAGAUGCUGACUAAGCUGAAGGCUCCUUGGAGAAUUGUCCUAGGACAGUAUAAGCCUGUUACAGGAAAUCAGGAGUUCAUCAUCAUAUCUGGUACAUAUUUUAAAUUUGUC